ACAAUGCGGGACUAUCAGUCUUGCAAUUGGAUUGAGAACAAUGUACAACUCUUAUCGAUAAGCCAUUGGAGGGCAAGUCUGGUGCCAGCAGCCGCGGUAAUUCCAGCUCCAAUAGCGUAUAUUAACGUUGUUGCAGUUAAAAAGCUCGUAGUUGAAGUGUGGGUGAUGGCGGUUGUGAGACUUCGGUCUCUCGACAGUAAGUCACCCCCUUCCAGUAUCCAGUAGUGGGUAUUCAGUUACUUACUAUUGUGUGUUGGUCCUUUACUGUGAGAAAAUUAGAGUGUUCAAAGCAGGCGUUUGCUUGAAUAGAUUAGCAUGGAAUAAUAAUUGAAGGCUUUCGUGUUCGAUUUGAUUGGUUUGUUCAUGGAAGCAAGGUUAAAAGGAACAGUUGGGGGUAUUCAUAUUCACUAGUUAGAGGU
rnacentral:rRNA from 1 species